rnacentral:tRNA from 1 species
AAAUAAGAAGCAAAUAUUGCAUUUAGUUUCGGCCUAAAAGUUUGGUAUAGUUACCCUUAUUUA